UUCCCUUCCAGAUGACAUCAUAAUUAGUCCUUUCUCAGCCUAAUUAAAACAUCUGCUCUGGACAAAAUCCUUUGUUGACUUCCUUCCACCAGCCCUGGGAAGAAUCUAUCAUCCCCUUUCCUCUAACACCCCUAACCCCUUUCCUCUAACACCAAAUGUGGUGUUUCAUCACCACAUUUAUAGAAAAAUAUAUUACAAUUAUUGGUUUCUAUGUCUGUUUCCAGGUCUCCUCAAGUUGCUCCUCAAGGGUACAUCUGGACACAAAAAAGGACACCAGGGAUGUGUGCACAUGGAGGAAAGAGCAUGUGAGGACACAUCAAGACAGCCUCUAUCUACAAGCCAAAGAGAGAGGCCUCAGAAGAAACGAACCUGCUAACACCUUGAUCUUGGAGUUCCAGCCAGUACUGAAGCUCACAAUCAAGUCUGUGGCCCUCCUUUAGCAAUUAGACAUUUUGGAUCCAAGGACCAAUAGGUUGACUCAUUCACCAGUGGAGAGUAUCAAAGAAAGAAAAAUUUAAAAACUAAACAACAGAUUUGACAAGCUGCCUGCCAUCUGAAAGUGAGAAAGAAUGUGAUAUCAAUUGAGCAUCUUCUGUGCAAGCUAUAUGCUGUACAUAUGCUUUUCUUCAAAACAUCCCUUCAAGAAAAUGGAAAGAGGGGGUGGAAGGAAUUCACCGUACUCUCCAGUCCCCCAAUUGCUGGCUGGUUAAUGAAGCAUUCUUCUCACCAGGGUGCCUCAGUUAUUUACCAAGAGAAUGACAACCCAUUCCCCACCCCCAGCUUGAACAGCCACUGCGAUCAGCUCCCUCUCUUCAUGACAAUGAGGCAAUAUGUGUGGGACUGUUUUUCGCAUAACUACAAAGCUUCAAAAAAAAGUGAGAAUAAAUAUUUACUUCCAGUGUAUUCCAUGCAACACAGAGGGAAAAUUUUCAAUGUUAAACUGACUUAUAUCCAACGAUAUCUUGCA